rnacentral:tRNA from 1 species
UUAUAUAGUUUAAAAAAAACUUUAUAUUUUCAUUAUAAAAUUAAAUAUUCUUAUUUUAUAAA